GAUCACACUUAUGACGUGUAGGAGUUGCAACAAUUUCAACGACCUUUUCAAACUUGAACUGCUGGUGACCAGGAAUUAUGUUGUGUGUCUUCAAGUGGUUCCUAUUUUGGAAGUUUGAGAAGGUCGGUGAAACUGUUGCAACUCCUACACCUUAUAAGUAUGAUCCA